rnacentral:rRNA from 1 species
AUGGCUACUGAACAGAGUGAACUUGAUCUGUCAUAUGGGAUGCGUUACCAAGAUGUCAAAAUUCCAGAGGCAUACGAGCGCCUCAUUUUGGAUACAAUAAGAGGAGACCAGCAACACUUUGUGCGCCGAGAUGAGCUGAAGGCUGCCUGGCAGAUCUUCACUCCCUUGUUGCACGACAUCGACGCUGGCAAGCUGAAGGCUGUUUCAUACAAGCCUGGCAGCCGAGGCCCCAAGGAAGCUGAUGAACUGAGUGAGAAGGUUGGGUACAUGCAGACCCACGGUUACAUCUGGAUACCACCCACCCUUGCAUAG